GGCUCGGUAGCUUAGUUGGUAAAGCCUUCGUCUAGCAUACAAGAGUCCUGGGUUCACAUCCCAGCCGAGCAC
rfam:Aedes aegypti strain Liverpool supercont1.665 genomic scaffold, whole genome shotgun sequence.